AAGUGCUGUCGGGACGCACCGUUCCCGGAGGCUCCUGCGCUGCCAACAUCCCUCCCUCCGCCAGACCGGCCUCAGGUCCAGUACCGGCUCAUCUAUCACGAGGCUGGAAAGAGACGUGGUGAGAAGCGGAGAUUAUUUGUUGAUGAGCCACAGCCUGUGACUCCCGCGAACCGACCCGUUCAGCCCACUGGGUUGUCGUCCUCCACCCGGCCGAAGCCUGCUGCGCUCACCCCCAUUCUGCCGAGGCCUUCUGCGCCCACCCACCUCCAGCCGAGGCCACCCGCUGCGUUGACCUACGGCCCACCCCCUGUGUCGGCAGCACCCAUACUGCAGGUCUUCCCCGCACAGCCACAGGCGCCCUCCGUCCUGUUUCGUGGGACAUCCUGCAGCCAGAGCUUUGUCCCUCCUGCACCAACAGUGAAGGCAUUCAUGCCUAACAAGUCCUCAAGGCCAUGUGGAGCUUGCCACAUGCCAAACUGUGGUGGACAGUGGAAGAGGUACAACCCUUUCAAGGACAAAGUGGCUGGAAGCAUUCAGAAAAUGUUUUCCUACUGUCCAUCCACUAGGAAGUCCACUACCCCUGGCUUCGACAAUGUGGUGUAUGACAACUUUGAACUCUUUAAGAGUGUCGUGGAUGCAGAGUUGGAAAGGAGGUGUGUGUGUGUGUGUGUGUGUGUGUGUGUGUGUGUGUGUGUGUGUGUGUGUGUGGUGUGUUUGUGAAUAACUUACUCUGUGAUGCCACUGUUCCUGUGCCAUCUGUAAGAGAGAGAAAGAGGCUUGUUUGUGUGUGUUUGUCUCUGUCUUUGUGUGGGUUAUUAAAGUGCUUCAGCAAGCACUAUCUAUUUAUUUAUAUCGUUCAAAAAAUGCAAAAAAACUUAUAAAAACUUUGUAGUAUCCAUUCUGGUCUAUUUUCAAUAUCAAGGCCAAUCUUUUUAACCUUAAUCAGUUCCAAUCUAACACAAUCAGUUUACAUACCCUUUAGUGGUUGUUCAUGUUCAGAUAAUCUGUGUUUUUGUCAUGCAUGUUGUUUGUCUUUGUCAGCUUCAUGUGUUUGUGAUGUUGUAUGUAUUUGUCUGCUUCAGUUUUAACAAAAGUUUGCUAAAGAAAACACAAAAAAACACAAAAGGGAGGAACAGCUUGAGCCUUUAUUUGUUGAUUGGUCACCUGAGUCUUUGGAUAAUCAUGUUCAUUAUUGCACUUUAGCCUGUACAAGCCAAUUGUUGAGUUGUAUCUUAAAGGGGUAGUUCGGAAUUUUGGACAUAGGGCCUGAUUCCGAAGUGAGCAUUGGUAUUCUAUAUCACUGGAGACAGUUUUCAACACAUUUCAUUCAGUCCUUCUAGUUGCAGAGUUCGCUCGUGCUAGGCUAGCGCAAGUCAACGGGCAAUGCUAGCCUGCAAUUAAAAACAGUCUUACCCACUCCACAGUACACCCGAGGUAAAUCAAUUAUAACGACAGACUAUACAUCUAAAUGUCUGUUUAUAGAAUAAUGUUAGAAAUAAAACCAACCUUGCAUUGCAUUGCAUUUUGAGGGAAUUGCGGGGUCUCAGCAGCAGUGUUUAUAUUCCUGUACGUAGGCUACGGCAGCGGCGGACUGAUACCUAGGUUACCUGCGCUGUCAUUGCUACAAACGCAGAGUACAGUGAACGAAGGAAUUCUACAGCGUAUUAAAUUAACAAGAUAUGGCCACGUUUGGAGGAGUUUAGCGAUGCAUCUGCUUUUGAAGACGAUUAUGAGGAAUUUGUUGUAUACAACGAACGUACAUGUACGAGCCGGUGUUUUGAUGUCAAAGCCAGCAGCAACAAGCCACAGUUGAGUCCUUUCUGGAUCUCGCACUGGAAAUUGGUGGAAACUUUGUGGUGCCCAUCUGUACCGUUUAUUUCUACAAUUUCUAAAAGCACACUGAACCAUCAUGUUGCCUAGUCGUUCAAUUGCGCUUCUGUCCCACGCUUCUCUGUUUACGUUCUUCUGUCGUGAUUCGGUUACAAACCUAACCAGCGCAUAGUAGAAUUCCGCUUCUGCUGAGAAAGUAGUCCCUCGAUGAUUCAUGCGAUGCAUGGUUAGUUUAUUUCUAACGUUAUUCUAUCAACACAGACAUUUAGAUGUAUAGUCUGUCGUUAUAAUUGAUUUACCUCGGGUGUACUGUGGAGUGGGUAAGACUGCUUUUAAUAGCAGGCUAGCAUUGCCCGUUGACUUGCGCUAGCCUAGCACGAGCGAACUCUGCAACUAGAAGAACUGAAUGAAAUGUGUUGAAAACUGUCUCCAGUGAUAUAGAAUACCAAUGCUCACUUCGGAAUCAGGCCCUAUGUCCAAAAUUCCGAACUACCCCUUUAAGUACAAGUGUGUGUUCUUCAAUUGUUGAGAUUUUUGCAUUAUUAUUAAUGUUAUUUAUAUGUGCCUUUCCUUUGAUGUGUGCAUGUCUGUCAGCUCCAUGUUUAACUAAAUGUUUGCAAAUGGUCAGUACAUGUUUGUCUCUCGUCUCAUGCUCUCGUGUCUUCGCCUGUAGAUCUGUACCUUGUUGUGGUGGGCGAGCUUUUAAUUAAACAGAUCUUGUUUACUUGUGUUUUUAUAUGCAUUGCCUUUUCAAUGAAACCCAUUCUGGGUGAAAAAUAAAAGUUGUAAAAGAAUUUGAGUCUCUGUGUGCUUGGCUUUCACAAGGGGUGGGGUAGUGGAAAGAAAAACACACCAAAGAAAUUAGAAGUCCUUGUGUCUUCUCUCCCGCAACCAGAGGUGUGAAUACACCCCCACUUUGCUGGCUGCACUCCCUGUGUGGUCAAAAUAAUGAGUUCUGUGAAUGGCUCUGUCAUCCAGACAAAGUGAGUGCACUGGAUACAUUCUUAUUAUUUUUCUUAAUUCAGCCCAAAAAUGUAACAAUUAAACACUUUUCCACUUGAUAAUAUGAAUCUCAUCAGCUACAUCAACUCAAAGUAUGAAAAUAAUAAACAAAACAUUCAGCAGACUAGCGGAUUUUGAUAAUCUAGGCCUUGCACAUAAUAUUUCUGGAAAUAAAACCUCCCACCGGUGGCCACCACAUGGAGCCGUCCGUUUGCUUCCCCGAUCCUUUAUGAGCGAUCCCUGGGUUGAGGGAUAGGGACUUUGGGGGGUCAUCAGCCAUUCCCAGGGGGUCACCCAUCCAAGUACUAACCAGGCCGGACCCUGCUUAGCCCUCCGAGAUCAGACGAGAUCGGGCGUGCUCAGGGUGGUAUGGCCGUAACAAGAAUUGUCGGGACCAUAUUUAGUAUUUAUACAAGAGGAGCACGUAAGGAGUGAGAGUUCUACCAUGGCCAGAGACGGGACUUGUACAGAAACAAUGAUUGGAUCCAUAAUGAAUGAAAGAAAUGAAUGAAUGAAUGAAUGAAUGAAUGAAUGAAUGAAUGAAUGAAUGAAUGAAUGAAUGAAUGCAUGAAUGAAUGCGUUAUUCCAGACUCAGAGUUCCAUAUUUGAACGCAAUGCAUUACACUGCUUGGGCUCAUCGUUUGCGUG
ensembl:lncRNA